rnacentral:rRNA from 1 species
UACGUAGGGAGCGAGCGUUUGUCCGGAAUCAUUGGGCGUAAAGAGCGCGUAGGUGGAUCAAUUAGUCUGCUGUGAAAGUCAAAGGCUCAACCUUUGAAAGCCGGUGGAUACUGUUGAUCUAGAGUACGGAAGAGGCGAGUGGAAUUCCUGGUGUAGCGGUGGAAUGCGCAGAUAUCAGGAGGAACACCAAUAGCGAAGGCAGCUCGCUGGGACGUUACUGACACUGAGGCGCGGAAAGCCAGGGGAGCGAACGGG